ensembl:lncRNA
CUUUUUUGGGGGGGACGGUCUUCUUCAUAAUAGUCUGACAUCACCCAACGGGUCCAAGCUUUCACUCACUAUAGAUCAGAAGAUAUAAACUAAUUGGAAAAUAACAAAAGGUACACGGCAGGGCAAUUAAUUCACCAGUAAUUCAGUCCAAACAUUCUUAUAACGUGGGCUGAAAAACUUAGCCUUGCCAGACUUCGACAGAGCCUUUCAACCCAAAAGUGUUUUUUAUUUUUUUUAUUGUUUUUUUAUUUUUUUGCUUUCUCUUGGCUAUUACACAGCUUUGCCAACUCUUCUGCAGUAGGAUAUGGAACCUGGGCAGAGUCAUGGUUUGGUAAUGAUGAAGCUUCAGAAGCCCUGCUAAGUGCUAGGCUUCUUAACCUGAUUACUGAGCUCAUGCACACUGCCAGAGAGAAGAAUAUUCAUUAGGGACCCACUGAGAGAGCUGAUAAAACAGCAGACAGCUGCACCGCCACGUCUGCACCCUCGCUACAUGCGUGAAAUGCAGACAUUAGCAUGUGAAAGAGACAGCCUUACUGGGCCCCUUAGCAAUAACGCUAGGCUUCAGAAUGCCGCUUAUUCGCCCAUUGCUCUGUUACAACAUCUUUUCACCAGUCCUCCAGUCACAGCAAAUUAUCUAUUUUUCAAGUUACGCCCUGAAAUUGAGGAGGUCAGGGGCAGGAAACUGACGCUUGACCCAAUACCCUAACCGAAUGACAGAAGAAGAAAGACACAGGGGGACGUGAGAGAGUGGCAUAGAAAGAGUGAUGGAGAUGAAGACGGAAAGCUAGGAAAUGAGAAAGGGAAGAGAGAAUGUGAACAGCAAAAGAAAAGAGUGAGUACUGGUUGUAAGGUGUAAGUGGGCCAGAGUAAGGGGCGGGAGUGGAGAUUGAGUGACAGCUCUGUGAUGGAUUGUGGUCUGAAUCACUGCUUAUGCCCUCUUCACACUCACUCUAGCUCACAGCGCUCUGACAGCCGUCCAUCGCUCUCUUUGUAAACAUACAGUCAGCCUUAUAUUCAGAGGUCAGGACCAGGACUUGAGAGAACUGCAUUCAUUUAGCCCCUUUAUUUCACUCUCUCUCCUCUGUAUUUCUUUGUGCGCCAUUCAUAAUCUCUUUAAUCAUUGACAACAUGCUAAUAUUGGAACAACAGCAGCACCGCAGUUGGUUUGAGACAGUUAUUAGAAGGGUCCAAGAUAAAUAAUAGUAGGAAAAGGAAAAAAAAAAGGAAAAAAAAAAUCUAUUUUAAAAAGUUCUUCGAAAUGUACCUGAAUUUUGAAAUCUUGAAUGUACAUCUUACAAUUAAAUACAUGUGUGCACACC